UUGUUCCUACGGGGGGCAGCAGUGGGGAAUAUUGCACAAUGGGGGGAACCCUGAUGCAGCGACGCCGCGUGAGUGAAGAAGUAUUUCGGUACGUAAAGCUCUAUCAGCAGGGAAGAAAAAAGGACGGUACCUGAGUAAGAAGCCCCGGCUAACUACGUGCCAGCAGCCGCGGUAAUACGGAGGGUGCAAGCGUUACUCGGAAUCACUGGGCGUAAAGAGUGCGCAGGCGGGCUUGUAAGUCAGAUGUGAAAUCCUGUCGCUUAACUA
rnacentral:rRNA from 1 species